rnacentral:lncRNA from 1 species
UUUUCUUAAUUUUUAUUAGUAUUUCAUAUUUCUUCAUUUUUCAAGGUUUCCUAGUUCUCUGGGUCACUGUCCCCUGGGCAGGCUAGAGUUGAUUAGUGUUGUUCUUACUAGGUGGGGGCCCCUAGAUCUGAACACCGUUUCCACUGUCAUCUGACCAGUCCAUAUCCUCAUUUGAAUAAUGUGCUUCUAGCGAUGCAGACUAACUGUAAUUAUGAAAAUAGUUAACCCUUAUUGAAUUUGUUUAUGUACCAGGCCCUGUGCCAAGCGCUUUCUGGAAGAACCACAUGUGAAAGGUAUUUUUGUAUCUUUUUUUGUACAUGAAUCAUUGGAAGCUUAAAGAAGUUGGUUAACUUGGCCAAGGACACAGUGAUCCAAGCCCAGGGCACUUGGCCAUGAGGAUGUAUUAUAUUUCCUUCCCUUUGCACCCACCUAUGACACACGUCUGACCAUUUAAGCCUUUGGCUUCAGCAAGAUGGAAAGCAAUUUGUCUUCUCCUAAAGAUCAAAGCCUGCUCUGACCCUGUGGGAAAUACACUUACCAUUUACCCAGACAAUUACUUUCCCCAGGUUCCAGGAGGUGCCAAAUCUCCCCUUUUUCUCCUUCCAGACAAUCACAGCCCUCAUUAAGCCCUUCCUGUUUGCACUCUCAUUUCCUACAUAAAUUCCUAUCAAGGUUACCAGCCCUCCCCAGUUUAUUCCUUUCUCUCUUUCCCAGCCAUGGCCUCUCAGCCACCAGUCACCUCUUCCCCCAACCCCCUGACCUCCCACUUCUCUUCUCAAUUCAACUGCUCUUCAGGAUUUCUGGUUGCACUACCUCUGGAGACAAGACUCUAGCAUUUGUUCUUGGAGACCGAGAUCUUCCUCUUCCCUGAGUCCCCUACCAAUGAUUCUCUCCCUCUUGUGGGUUUCUGCAGGGCUAGCAGUGCAUCCAUCAAACCAUUAGGGCCUCCAUGUGGAGAGGCCAGUUGGCUCCCUUUUUAGGAAGCUCUGCCCUUCCCUUCCAGCAGACCCAGAGUGGAAAGGGCCCAGGGUCCCUGCCUUAAGCUUUGUCAAGGGUGCCAUAUGUCAAGGGUGCCAUAUGAUGUUUUGUCUUGGGCCCAAGGGGCCUCAAACUGUAAGGAAAAACCCUCUCUGAUGGUUUCCUGGCUCAGACUUCUGCAAUUAACAGGACUUCUGCAACUAACCACCUUCUUGUCUGCCCACAUACAUGAUACUGACCUUCUUUUAUUCUCUCCUCUGUACAGAGUUACCUGACCCUCAGGAAGAUUUAGGCUUUUUUUUUUUCUCCCAUCUCACCUUGUAUAAAUAUGUCUUCUCAGUAUAGUAAUGUCAUUGGAUUGAGGAUACUUGUUUGCAGAGGAGGCAAGAAUGCGUUGUUCCGUUUUUGAAUUCCACACAUCUAAUAUGGAGCCUGAGCCACAGGGCUCAAAAUGUUAAGUAAACAAAUGAAUGGGAAAUUAAUAAGAAGAAUGCAUUGGCAAGACCGUGAAGAAGGCCUGCCAUGGGAAGCUUUGGGAAGAAGCCAGCUGCCAUGUUGUGAGAACUCUCAAGCAGCUGUGUGGAGAGAUCCAUGUGGUGAGGAACUGAAGCCUCCUACCCACCAUCAAGUCAGUGGCUCACUACUGUUGCAGUGAAUUCUCCAGCCCAUGAAGACUUUAGAUGAUUUACCCAACAUCUUGAUUAUAGCCUCAUGGAUUCCCUGAGCCAGAACAACCCAGCUAAGCCUCUCCUGAAUUCCUUACCUACAGAAACUGUGAGAUAAUAAAUAUUUAUUCUUUUAAGCCAUCAAAUUUUGGGUAAUUUAUUAUGCAGUAAUAUGUAACUAAUAUAGAUAAAAAUAUUCAGUUUGAAGGAAAGAAGAAAAAUAACUUACAAUAAACUCAAGAAAUAAAAUAAAAU